ACUGGUACUGUGAAGCUGUCCAAGGUGAUGGGAGAAUGCAGAACGCAGGCACAGCUCAUUCAGCUCUCCAGGGCGAGCAUUUCCAACCCUGCCUGAUGCUUUGCAGAUCGGUCCCUGUCAGGAGCAAAUGCCAAAAUUUUGUAACCUUUGAGGCUAAGUCACAGAGCUGGAAGUGCAACCUCACAUGUUCAAUGAAAAAAAA
rnacentral:sRNA from 1 species